AAUCAACGCUGGCGGCGUGCCUAACACAUGCAAGUCGCACGAGAAAGGGCAGCAAUGCCUGAGUACAGUGGCGCACGGGUGAGUAACACGUGAAUGAUCUACCUCCGAGUGGGGAAUAACUGAGAGAAAUCUUAGCUAAUACCGCAUAACACUUACGAGUCAAAGCAGCAAUGCGCUUGGAGAGGAGUUCGCGGCAGAUUAGUUAGNGGCGGGGUAAUGGCCCACCAAGACGAUGAUCUGUAUCCGGCCUGAGAGGGCGGCACGGACACACUGGAAC
rnacentral:rRNA from 1 species